CUGGAGAGAAAAUUACAAAAAAAAUAGAGCUUAAAAAUAGAUUUAAAGGUGCUAAAUUAAGGAGAGCCCUUAUUUAUAGAUACAAUAUGUAAAUCAUGACUAUUGGAUGAAAACAAUUCAAAUGCUCAAGAUUGCGCCAGGUGGUAAGCUUUGAUUGGAUGAAAAACAUCAUCAGUUAAUGUCACAUCAGCAUUUUGGUCCAAAAAUAUGUUGCCAUGUCAUCGAUCAACGCCUCAUCAGCAUUUUGUCCAAUAAACUCC
rnacentral:lncRNA from 1 species